UUUAUGGAGAGUUUGAUCCUGGCUCAGGAUGAACGCUGGCGGCGUGCCUAAUACAUGCAAGUCGAGCGAACGGACGAGAAGCUUGCUUCUCUGAUGUUAGCGGCGGACGGGUGAGUAACACGUGGAUAACCUACCUAUAAGACUGGGAUAACUUCGGGAAACCGGAGCUAAUACCGGAUAAUAUUUUGAACCGCAUGGUUCAAAAGUGAAAGACGGUCUUGCUGUCACUUAUAGAUGGAUCCGCGCUGCAUUAGCUAGUUGGUAAGGUAACGGCUUACCAAGGCAACGAUGCAUAGCCGACCUGAGAGGGUGAUCGGCCACACUGGAACUGAGACACGGUCCAGACUCCUACGGGAGGCAGCAGUAGGGAAUCUUCCGCAAUGGGCGAAAGCCUGACGGAGCAACGCCGCGUGAGUGAUGAAGGUCUUCGGAUCGUAAAACUCUGUUAUUAGGGAAGAACAUAUGUGUAAGUAACUGUGCACAUCUUGACGGUACCUAAUCAGAAAGCCACGGCUAACUACGUGCCAGCAGCCGCGGUAAUACGUAGGUGGCAAGCGUUAUCCGGAAUUAUUGGGCGUAAAGCGCGCGUAGGCGGUUUUUUAAGUCUGAUGUGAAAGCCCACGGCUCAACCGUGGAGGGUCAUUGGAAACUGGAAAACUUGAGUGCAGAAGAGGAAAGUGGAAUUCCAUGUGUAGCGGUGAAAUGCGCAGAGAUAUGGAGGAACACCAGUGGCGAAGGCGACUUUCUGGUCUGUAACUGACGCUGAUGUGCGAAAGCGUGGGGAUCAAACAGGAUUAGAUACCCUGGUAGUCCACGCCGUAAACGAUGAGUGCUAAGUGUUAGGGGGUUUCCGCC
rnacentral:rRNA from 1 species